UUUCCGUUUAGGUGAACCUGCGGAAGGAUCAUUG
rnacentral:rRNA from 1 species